rnacentral:rRNA from 1 species
UACGUAGGUUGCAAGCGUUAUCCGGAAUUAUUGGGCGUAAAGCGUCUGUAGGUGGUUUGCUAAGUAGAAGAUUAAAUCGUUGGGCCCAACUCAACGGCUGUUUUCUAAACUGACAAACUAGAGGUAAGGAGAGGUAAUUGGAAUUUCCAGUGUAGGGGUGGAAUCCGUAGAUAUUGGAAAGAACGCUAAAAGCGAAGGCAGAUUACUGGUCUUACCUGACGCUGAGAGACGAAAGCGUGGGGAGC